ACGAGCGCAACCCUUGUCCGCUGUUGCCAUCAGGUUAUGCUGGGCACUCUGCGGAGACUGCCGGUGAUAAACCGGAGGAAGGUGGGGAUGACGUCAAGUCAGCAUGGCCUUUAUGUCUGGGGCUACACACGUGCUACAAUGGCCGGUACAAACCGUCGCGAUCUCGCAAGAGGGAGCUAAUCGGAGAAAGCCGGUCUCAGUUCGGAUUGCAGGCUGCAACAAAGCCUGCAUGAAGUUGGAAUCGCUAGUAAUCGCGGAUCAGCACGCCGCGGUGAAUACGUUCCCGGGCCUUGUACUCACCGCCCGUCACAUCACGAAAGCCGGCUGUACUGGUACCUUAAGGCUAACCCGCAAGGGAGGCAAGCGCCUAAGGUA
rnacentral:rRNA from 1 species